rnacentral:rRNA from 1 species
GACGAACCGUGCGAACGUUGUUCGGAUUCACUGGGCUUAAAGGGCGCGUAGGCGGCUUGCCAAGUCAGGGGUGAAAUCUUUCGGCUUAACCGGAAAAGUGCUUCUGAUACUGGCGAGCUGGAGGGAGGUAGGGGCAGAUGGAACUUCCGGUGGAGCGGUGAAAUGCGUAGAUAUCGGAAGGAACGCCGGUGGCGAAAGCGAUCUGCUGGACCUCUUCUGACGCUGAGGCGCGAAAGCCAGGGGAGCAAACGGG